rnacentral:rRNA from 1 species
GAUGAACGCUGGCGGCGUGCCUAAUACAUGCAAGUCGAACGCUAGAAAUCUAGCUUGCUAGAUUGAAGGAGUGGCGAACGGGUGAGUAAUACAUAAGCAACCUACCCACGAAGACUGGGAUAAUCUCUGGAAACGGGGACUAAUACCGGGUAGGUAAUCGGAAGGCAUCUUCUGAUUAUUAAAGGUUAAAAACACUGGUGGAUGGGCUUAUGGCGCAUUAGUUAGUUGGUGAGGUAACGGCCCACCAAGACGAUGAUGCGUAGCCGGCCUGAGAGGGUGAACGGCCACAUUGGGACUGAGACACGGCCCAGACUCCUACGGGAGGCAGCAGUAGGGAAUUUUCGGCAAUGGGGGAAACCCUGACCGAGCAACGCCGCGUGAGUGAUGACGGCCUUCGGGUUGUAAAGCUCUGUUGUAAGGGAAGAACGGUAGAUAGAGAAUAUCUAAAUGACGGUACCUUACCAGAAAGCCACGGCUAACUACGUG